AUUGAACGCUGGCGGCAGGCCUAACACAUGCAAGUCGAACGAGUCGGGGCAGGGUGAGUAAUGUCUGGGAAACGGCCUGAGGGAGGGGGAUAACUAAUGGAAACGGUAGCUAAUACCGCCUACCAUCGGAUGUGCCCAGAUGGGAUUAGCUAGUUGGUGGGGUAACGGCUCACCAAGGCGCCGAUCCCUAGCUGGUCUGAGAGGAUGACCAGCCACACUGGAACUGAGACACGGUCCAGACUCCUACGGGAGGCAGCAGUGGGGAAGAUUGCACAAUGGGCGCAAGCCUGAUGCAGCCAUGCCGCGUGUAUGAAGAAGGCCUUCGGGUUGUAAAGUACUUUCAGCGGGGAGGCGUUACCCGCAGAAGAAGCACCGGCUAACUCCGUGCCAGCAGCCGCGGUAAUAC
rnacentral:rRNA from 1 species